rnacentral:rRNA from 1 species
UGGGGAAUAUUGCACAAUGGAGGGAACUCUGAUGCAGCGACGCCGCGUGAACGAAGAAGGCUUUCGAGUCGUAAAGUUCUUUUAUAUGGGAAGAUAAUGACGGUACCAUAAGAAUAAGGUCCGGCUAAAUACGUGCCAGCAGCCGCGGUAAUACGUAUGGACCGAGCGUUGUCCGGAAUCAUUGGGCGUAAAGGGUACGUAGGCGGCCCAGUAAGUUAGAAGUGAAAUAAUAUAGCUCAACUAUAUAAAGCUUUUAAAACUGCUAGGCUUGAGAGAUGGAAGGGAAAGUGGAAUUCCUAGUGUAGCGGUGAAAUGCGCAGAUAUUAGGAAGAAUACCGGUGGCGAAGGCGACUUUCUGGUCAUCAUCUGACGAUGAGGUACGAAAGCGUGGGUAGCAAACAGG